rnacentral:tRNA from 1 species
GCGGGGAUACCCGAGCCAGGUCUAAGGGGGAGGACUUAAGAUCCUCUGGCGCAGGCCUCCACGGGUUCGAAUCCCGUUCCCCGCACCA